UACGUAGGGUGCGAGCGUUAAUCGGAAUUACUGGGCGUAAAGUGUGCGCAGGUGGCCGCGCAAGUCGAGUGUGAAAUCCCCGAGCUUAACUUGGGAAUUGCGCUCGAAACUACGUGGCUCGAGUGUGGCAGAGGAAGGUGGAAUUCCACGUGUAGCGGUGAAAUGCGUAGAGAUGUGGAGGAACACCGAUAGCGAAGGCAGAGGACUGGGUGCUACCUGACACUGCUAGGACGAAAGCGUGGGGAGCGAACAGG
rnacentral:rRNA from 1 species